UUAACCGAACAAUCAAGCGAA
rnacentral:piRNA from 1 species